rnacentral:lncRNA from 1 species
UCUGAAAAUCCGUCCGUAAACAACAUUCAUUAUAACCAUAUCUUGUACAUCAUAUCUUGAAUCAAAAGCAAAACCAUGAUACCUCUUAAAAUUUUGAACAUAAUAUCUGGUACAUCAUAUGCAAAUUGAAGAUAAAACUAAAUAGAAGCACAACCAAAUAAAGCGAAAAUAAUCGGUAGUCUCAGAAAAUUAUAUAACAAGUACAAAAAACUUGAAAGAAAGUCUGAGUUCUAAAAUAAGAUAUCUCUAGAAAAUGAAACUACUUUGCUUUAUGUUUGCACUUCAACGAAUUGUUCAAGAUCAAUUUCCUUUCUUUAUUGUAAGGAUGCAUUAUCAAUUGCAGUGCAGUUUGUAGUCUUGAGCCUUCAUCCACCUGUUAGCACAAUAAUGGAAAAGUCAAUAGUGUCCAUUUCAU